GCUGUUGUUGCCUAAAGGAAGUAAUGAAAUUGCUGCUGAUAUUUCUUCCACACCCGCAUAAGAUCGCGUUGAGACAAGUAUGACCAAAAUCGAAACUAUUCAAUUUGGCUAGCAUAUUAUAAAAUAUGCAUAUUGGCAGUGUUUGACCGCUGCGCAGAAAAGUGAACCGGCAUAAAACUGACCUUCGUUCAUUAACGACAACCAAGCGCAUAACAAGACAUAAACCUCAAAAAAAAAGCGCAAAGAAAAAAAGAUAUCGCAUAUUUGGCUAUAAAAAACAACAGAAACCAGUUGACUGCAGCAGCAGCUGCGAUUUAGCUAACUAACUAACUAACUAGUCGUAGUAAAAUUAGCUAUAGAAUUUUUGUGGGUUUCUGCUUUUUUGCAAGAUUUUAAUUUGCCAAAACCGACAACACAGAAAACAAAAAUUACAUACGUUGGCAAAAUAAAAUAAUAAAAAAAAUAACAUGUUGAAUUAAUUUCGCAUUAGAACACGCGCAUGCAACGCGACCAAAAACGCAGCAGCAACUGCCAGGGGUGACGAGGAGGGGGAAGUGAUUAAGAGUAGUUCGGGAACCGAAAUGGAAGUCGUCGACUCGACCAAACUGCACGGUCCGCUGGCCUUUUGCACAGAAUACCAAAUGGAAACAGCAAAAUACAAAAACAAAGAAACAAAACUUGUUUGACAAACAAAAUAAAAAAGCAUAGUUAAAUUACAGCUAUUUAAAAUAUGCUUAAAAUGAUUCAAAUCUAUUCGGAAAUACAAAUCUCUCUUUUGCGGAAUUGCAUCCUGCGGCCAUAUCGAUAAGAAGUCAAGAUCACGCUCAGAUAAACUCGCAACUAGCUCGUUAACUCGAACAAGUCCUUAAAUGUCUGCAGAGUCAUAACAUAUGCGAAAACAAAUACAAUACUUGUAUACGUAUGUAGUAUAGAAAACAGUUGGGCAGCAAAAAACUGUUGAACAACAUUUUAUGGGCCAACUAAGCGGGCCCAUUACAGCACUUUAGCGGCUUUCGUUAUUGCUGUAAAGCAUUUUUUGCAUUUUGCCAUUUGCCAUUUGCUAUUUUCUGCUGUGGUUGCUGCUGGCGCUUAUGUGUUGCGGGGCCUUCAAGAGGGCAGCCCCGCUGUUGUAGUUGGCUGUGUUGGCUGUUGGCGCCAGUGGGUCCAACAUUGUAAGCUGAGAGCUUCCAGCUUGGCCCCAGCCCCACCAGCUGAGUCAACAAUAAAAAAGCACAGUGCAAAAGUUUUGUUUAAACAAAUCAGCAGAAAUGAUUUUUUAAUGUUGCGAGCCAAGUUUGUUGGCGCUUGUAAGCGAUUUUAACUUGGCACGAAAAAGAAUUAUUUACACUAUACGAAAAGUAACAAAAAAAAUGAUAAGAAUUUUGCUUGAUUUUUGGUAUCGAAUCAGUUAUACCCGGGCAACAAAGUUAUUUAUAUUUAUUACUUUAAUAAUUCUUAUUUUUAUAAGUUAUAUAUAACACAAUUUCAUAUAA